rnacentral:rRNA from 1 species
UACGUAGGGACCGAGCGUUGUCCGGAAUCAUUGGGCGUAAAGCGCGUGUAGGCGGCCACUUAAGUCCUGCGUGAAAUCUUGCGGCUCAACCGCAAGCGGUCGUGGGAAACUGGGUGGCUAGAGUGCGGGAGAGGAGAGUGGAAUUCCUGGUGUAGCGGUGGAAUGCGCAGAUAUCAGGAAGAACACCCGUGGCGAAGGCGGCUCGCUGGACCGCAACUGACGCUGAGGCGCGAAGGCUCGGGGAGCGAACGGG